rnacentral:rRNA from 1 species
AUUGAACGCUGGCGGCAGGCCUAACACAUGCAAGUCGAACGGUAACAGGAAGAAGCUUGCUUCUUUGCUGACGAGUGGCGGACGGGUGAGUAAUGUCUGGGAAACUGCCUGAUGGAGGGGGAUAACUACUGGAAACGGUAGCUAAUACCGCAUAACGUCGCAAGACCAAAGAGGGGGACCUUCGGGCCUCUUGCCAUCGGAUGUGCCCAGAUGGGAUUAGCUAGUAGGUGGGGUAACGGCUCACCUAGGCGACGAUCCCUAGCUGGUCUGAGAGGAUGACCAGCCACCCUGGAACUGAGCCACGGUCCAGACUCCUACGGGAGGCAGCAGUGGGGAAUAUUGCACAAUGGGGGCAAGCCUGAUGCAGCCAUGCCGCGUGUAUGAAGAAGGCCUUCGGGUUGUAAAGUACUUUCAGCGGGGAGGAAGGGAGUAAAGUUAAUACCUUUGCUCAUUGACGUUACCCGCAGAAGAAGCACCGGCUAACUCCGUG